rnacentral:rRNA from 1 species
GACGAACGCUGGCGGCGUGCUUAACACAUGCAAGUCGAACGGAAAGGCCUGCUUUCCCUUGUGGAUUGCGGGUACUCGAGUGGCGAACGGGUGAGUAACACGUGAGUGAUCUGCCCCCAACUUGGGUAUAAGCCUGGGAAACUGGGUCUAAUUCCCGAUAGGACUGCAGGGUGGUGCCUGUGGUGGAAAACGAUUUUCUAGUGGUUGGGGAUGAGCUCGCGGCCUAUCAGCUUGUUGGUGGGGUAAUGGCCUACAAAGGCGGCGACGGGUAGCCGGCCUGAGAGGGUGGACGGCCACAUUGGGACUGAGAUACGGCCCAGACUCCUACGGGAGGCAGCAGUGGGGAAUAUUGCACAAUGGGCGGAAGCCUGAUGCAGCGACGCCGCGUGGGGGAUGACGGCCUUCGGGUUGUAAACUCCUUUCGACCGCGAGGAAGCCACCUGGUUGGAAGGGUGGUGACGGUAGUGGUAGAAGAAGCACCGGCUAACUACGUG